rnacentral:miRNA from 1 species
AGGGCUUCCUUCCAGCCGUCGAGGUACAAGUACCUCGACGACUGGAAGGGUGUCCUUCCAGUUGUCAAGGUACUUGUACCUCAACGGCUGGAAGGAAGCCCU